UACAGAGGUCCCGAGCGUUGUUCGGAUUCACUGGGCGUAACGGGUGCGUAGGUGGCUGGGCAAGUUUGAUGUGAAAGCUCAGGGCUUAACCCUGAAAUGGCAUUGAAUACUACUUAGCUUGAGGUUUGGAGGGGGGACUGGAAUUCUUGGUGUAGCAGUGAAAUGCGUAGAUAUCAAGAGGAACACCAGUGGCGAAGGCGAGUCCCUGGACAACACCUGACACUGAGGCACGAAAGCUAGGGGAGCAAACAGG
rnacentral:rRNA from 1 species